rnacentral:rRNA from 1 species
GGCAUCGAGGCUUACCUGCAAGUCGAGGGGUAACAUUGGAAGCUUGCUUUCAGAUGACGACCGGCGCACGGGUGAGUAACGCGUAUACAAUCUACCUAUUACAGGGGGAUAGCCCAGAGAAAUUUGGAUUAAUACCCCAUAGUAUUAUAGAGAGGCAUCUUUUUAUAAUUAAAACUCCGGUGGUAAUAGACGAGUAUGCGUCUUAUUAGUUAGUUGGUGAGGUAACGGCUCACCAAGACCACGAUAAGUAGGGGUCCUGAGAGGGAGAUCCCCCACACUGGUACUGAGACACGGACCAGACUCCUACGGGAGGCAGCAGUGAGGAAUAUUGGGCAAUGGAGGCAACUCUGACCCAGCCAUGUCGCGUGCAGGAAGACGGUUCUAUGAAUUGUAAACUGCUUUUAUAGAGGAAGAAACCCAACUACGUGUAGUUGGCUGACGGUACUCUACGAAUAAAGACCGGCUAACUCCGUGCCAGCAGCCGCGGUAAUACGGAGGGUCUAAGCGUUAUCCGGAAUCAUUGGGUUUAAAGGGUCCGUAGGCGGGCUAAUAAGUCAGAGGUGAAAUCCCACAGCUUAACUGUGGAACUGCCUUUGAUACUGUUAGUCUUGAGUCAUAAUGAAGUAGAUGGAAUGUGUAGUGUAGCGGUGAAAUGCAUAGAUAUUACACAGAGCACCGAUUGCGAAGGCAGUCUACUAAUUAUGUACUGACGCUGAGGGACGAAAGCGUGGGGAGCGAACAGGAUUAGAUACCCUGGUAGUCCACGCCGUAAACGAUGGAUACUAGCUGUUAGUCAUGCCGUAGGGUAUGAUUAGUGGCCAAGCAAAAGUGAUAAGUAUCCCACCUGGGGAGUACGUUCGCAAGAAUGAAACUCAAAGGAAUUGACGGGGGCCCGCACA